rnacentral:lncRNA from 1 species
UCGCUCAUAACUUCGUCAAAAAUGAUCUGAUUUACUUCAAACUAAGCUGAAAGUGAACCUUAUUCUAUUUGUCACUCAUAAUCUUACCCAUUCCUUUCGUGAAAAAUGCAUAUUUGUGAAGAUCGGUAGGGUCCGAAGACUUUAUGCCCUAAAUGGGCAGGAUUUGUUGUGCCUGGCACCACUUGUUUGAAAAAUGUAUUGGGCCCGAUGAUAUGUUCUCAUGGAUCAGGCAUUGAGUGGCAGAGGUAUGCCCCCAUUGAUAUUUAUGAAUUCGCUUUUUGAUGCUUGUGUUUCCUUUUUGAACACUUCCAUUGACUGGUCCAUCGUUUCACUGUUCCACAGAAACCCAGUGGAAAGAGCUUCUGAAACAAUUUAAGAUUUUCAAAAAGAAGUCCACAAAACAGAGUGUGCUUAUUGUUGAAGGACAUGAGGGGAGUACUUCAACCGUCCUGCAACAUAUUUGCAAUAAGUUGAAGGACAAAAAGGAGAACAAGGAGUUCUACAAAAAUCACAGGAUUGUCCCUCUGAAGCUGACUGACAAAACCGGCAACACAUUGAGGAAGAUGUACGAGAUGCUGCCCAAAAUAAACGAGGAAGGUUGUUCAAAUUCUCCAAUUGACAUUGCCAAAGCUCUUCUUGCAGAGGUUGUAAAAGCACCUGCAGUGUUUUUAAUUGACUCAGCCCACAACAUGGAUGACAUGUCGAUAGAUUUGCUGAAUAGAUUUUUGCUGACUACAAACCGGAGAAUCCUUCUCAUCUUGGCAAUGAGGCCAUUGCACUUGCAGUGCUCCUUGAACUUGCGAUUGUUUUCCACGAGUUCCAACACAAUGAGAGUUACCAUGAGCAAUCAAGGCAACAUAUUGAAUGAAGCAGUCGAAGGUCAGCCAAAGCGACGAAAUUAUGAAGAGUUUUGUAAUUCUCACCCCGAUGUCCUGGAGAAGUACGUGGUUGAAAUGGUUCCCAAAACGGUGCUAAAAAGGUGGCUUGGCCAAGACAGAAACCCAGUGGAAAGAGCUUCUCAAAAAAUUUAA